AAGAACCUUCAUACUUAAUACCUCUAUCACUCCUCCACUCAACAGGUGAGGAAACAUCAGUCCAGUGAGAGUGGCAUGUGUGGGGAGGAGCCCAGGCUUGCUCUGACCUCUCUCUGGGGCCCCCCACUCCAGAAGGUUGGAACAGCAUUCUACAGCAUUCCAGGAUGUGGAGGGGGCAGCAGUGUUUGUGUGCAGAGUGGCGAGGCCGACCUCCGAUGAGCUUCCCGUAGGAAGGGUGCAGUGGGGGGUGCUCACCCUGCCCAGGGAUGCUAUCUGCUCCAGGACUUGUUUAUCAGCCCACGGGGUGAUCGGCAUGACAUCAAUGGAUAUGCCAGGCUGCAGGCUACAGUGCCGAGAAGGAGAAGACGGAGGCGGUGGUGAUGUCACCCAAGGAAUUAAGUAAGCAGGGGAGCUGAUAACAUCGUCCAGCCA
rnacentral:lncRNA from 1 species